GGUUUCCAGAAUAGCUAGACGGGCCCCUCCCCCCUCGCGCGCCCGGUCAACGUCUGCUGCCGGCGGUGCCUACUAACCUGCUAGUGGGGGAGACCCGCACCGCCGCGACCAAUCCGCUCUUGCGCUCUCCGGACCGGCAGCCAGUGGGCAGGCGGGAAAGCCGGGCUGAGCCCCGGCGCAUCCUGGGAGUCGUAGUUUCUCUCCGUCGAAGAGCUCCUGCCGGGCGGGUUCACCCCGCCCAGUUGCCAUUAGUUACCCUGACGCACCGCCCACCCCACAUCCACGUAAAAUGCUCCUUCGCGUUGCUUCUGGGGCACUUCUCACACUCACCCAAAUGCUUCUCAGAGCCCGGCGCAGUCUCCUAAGAGCCUUACCGAGACUUCCUCAGAUCCCCUGAAUUGCGAGACUUUUCAGGCUGGGGCCCCAGUGCCCCCCCCCCCCCCGCCUCCGACUCCCACCCCCUAAAGCCGACCUUCAUCUUAACUCCUCCCUGACCUGGGUGGCUACUGAAGAGGCGCAUUCCUCACUCUUGUUCCUGGGCCUCAAGGAAGAGGAGAAAAGGUGCACUAGAUAAUGCCCCAACUGAGCAGCUCUGCAGAGGCAGUCACUGAUACAACCAUUUUCAUUUCCUGAUUGGACUCCUGGGAAAAAGUGGGUAUAUUCAACCUAAAACUGAAGAUUCUCUUAUUCUACAACCCAGAAAUUUUACUUCUAAGAGUUUAGAGGAAACAUUACAUGUGUGCACAAGAAAACACGGCAAGGAACACUACUUCUGGCCCGUUAUGAUAGCAAAAAAAGUCAAAAAAACCUAACCUAUAGGGGAAUGGAUGGAUGAAUCAUGGUUUAUUCAUACAGUGAAGCACUACACAACCAUAUUUUUCUACGAAAAACACACGUCAACUAUCAACACGUAAGAUGUUUAUCAACACGUAAGAUGUUUAUCCAUGCGUCAACUAAAAUCGCUGAGUACCCCUGCUCUUCCUGUACUGCCUCCCACUUCCUUCACUGAUACUUUGUGUCUUCAUCUGUAACUAGGGCUAAUAAAUCCCUCACAGGA